rnacentral:rRNA from 1 species
AUUGAACGCUGGCGGCAGGCCUAACACAUGCAAGUCGAGCGGAGUGGCGGACGGGCGAGUAAUGCCUAGGAAUCUGCCCGGUCGUGGGGGAUAACGUACGGUAACGGGCGCUAAUAUAGCAUACUACCAGAUGAGCCUAGGUGGGAGUAGCUAGCUGGGGGGGUAAAGGCCUACCAAGGCGACGAUCCGUAGCUGGUCUGAGAGGGUGAUCAGUCACACUGGAACUGAGACACGGUCCAGACUCCUACGGGAGGCAGCAGUAGGGAAUAUUGGGCAAUGGGCGAAAGCCUGAUCGAGCCACGCCGCGUGUGUGAAGAAGGUCUUCGGAUUGUAAAACACUUUAAGUUGGGAGGCGGUACCAAAAGAGUAAGCACCGGCUAACUACGUGCCAGCAGCCGCGGUAAUUC